UGUUUAUCAAAAACAUGUCUUUUUGAGUUUAUAUAAAGUCGGGCCUGCCCUAUGAAUUUUAAAUGGCCGCAGUAUUUUGACUGUGCAAAGGUAGCAUAAUCAUUAGCUUUUUAAUUGGGAGCUAGUAUGAAUGGUUUGACGAAAGAAGUUCUUUCUUUAAUUUAUUUUGAGAAUUUGAGUUUUAAGUGAAAACGCUUAGAUUUUUUUAUUAGACGAUAAGACCCUAUAGAAUUUUAUUAAACUUUUAUUAUUACAUAUAUUUUUAAUUUGUGGUAAUUGGGAAAAUUUGGUUGGGGCGACCUUUAAAUAUUAUUAACUUUUAAAUUUUUUUUCAUUAAUUUAUGUAUAUUUGAUCCAUAAUUUGUGAUUAUUAGAUUAAAUUACCUUAGGGAUAACAGCGUAAUUUUUUUGGGGAGUUCUUAUCUAUAAAAAAGUUUGCGACCUCGAUGUUGGAUUAAAGUAAGUAUAUGGUGUAGCAGCUAUAAUGACUAAGUCUGUUCGACUUUUAAUUUUUUACA
rnacentral:rRNA from 1 species